GAAUCAAUGUAAUUAUAUAAAUGUUCAAUAGCUGUAUUCUUUUCUGCUGUAUAUAUAGUUGUAUCUAUGAAGAGAAAAGGUACAUCAGAUUCAGAAUUUCUCUUAUUUGUAUUCUAAUAUUGCUUAUCUUUAACAUGGUAUCAGAGCCUAGACUCUAGAUCUUGUUUAUUUUGAUAAUCAUUUUCAGAUUUGUUCAGCAUUCAGGCUUCGUCAAAUUGUUUCAUAUAUCGAGACACCAAUUUUUUGCUUGGUUUGUGAAGAAUAAGUUUUGUAAGGACCUUCAAACAGUGAAGAUAAUCGGGAAAGCUCAUAAGUAAGGCCUUUUGUUCCAACUUGCUGUUGAUUCAACAAUAUUGCCUUCAUUAUGUUUUUCAGUCUCCUCAUCAGAAAAAGAAUCUUCUUCAUAUGAACUUUUAGUGGCUUUGGCAUUGUCAUCUAGGACACCCUCAUUCUAGAAGACUAGAGCAUAUGCUUAAAUUUCAUCUUCUUCCAAAUAAAGUGUCUUUAAAUUCCUUGAAUUUUGAUAAAAAUUGUGAGAGUUGUGUUUGCUGUAAAGCACCCAAAUUGCCAUUAUCUUCUGGCAAUUCUAGUGUUAAGUCACCUUUUAAUUUGGUACAUAGUGACUAUGGGCCCCAUCACCUGUGAAUUCAAGAUUAGGUUAUAAA